rnacentral:sRNA from 2 species
GUUGGAUGUAGUUACUCUUCACUGCUUGAUGAGACGCACAUAUCCCAACUUCAUGACAUUUUCCCAUAGCGGAAAUGUUCACAAAUUCGUGAGGGGCUCAUUAUCGGUGUUUUCUCAAAAACUAGAUCCCGCUUCGAUUAUCAAUCCUGGUACCACUUGAAGGUCAUUUCAUUGCGGGAUGCGGUAUCGGUAGUCUUAUUGAGCCGGCAAGUUCAACAAAGGCAACCUAUUCCGUCAAGGAUCGGUGGCAUUGGGCAUUGGGGGCAGGCUUCAUUCAGAUAAAUAAGUCUACACAAUAAUGGACCUCCCGAAUUCGAUCUAGCAGUCGAAAUCGGUGCACUUAGAUGGAUUGCUAUAUUUCUGGAGCAAACAAGCACGAUCACUGCCCAAAAGUCUACACAUUUUCUCAGUCAUUAACUAACUAGCAAUACUACAGCUGUCCAUCAGCAGCGCAUUCUGGGAAGGCUUGACUUGAUUAAACCCCAUUAAGCCUGGCAAAGUGCCCAGGUAUUGGCGCCAG